rnacentral:snRNA from 1 species
CUGCUCGCUUUAGCAGCACCUUUAUUAAAAUUGGGAUGAUACAGAGAAGAUUAGCAUGGCCCUUGCACGAGAAU